AACGAACGCUGGCGGCGCGCCUAAUACAUGCAAGUCGAGCGAGAAGACGUAGCAAUACGUUUGUAAAGCGGCGAACGGGUGAGGAAUACAUGGGUAACCUACCCUCGAGUGGGGAAUAACUAGCCGAAAGGUUAGCUAAUACCGCGUACGCUCCUUGGACUUCGGUUCAGGGAGGAAAGCGAUACCGUGGGUAUCGCGCUCUUGGAUGGGCUCAUGUCCUAUCAGCUUGUUGGUGGGGAACGGCUCACCAAGGCUUCGACGGGUAGCUGGUCUGAGAGGACGAUCAGCCACACUGGCACUGCGACACGGGCCAGACUCCUACGGGAGGC
rnacentral:rRNA from 1 species